rnacentral:rRNA from 1 species
AACGAACGCUGGCGGCAUGCCUAACACAUGCAAGUCGAACGAAGGCUUCGGCCUUAGUGGCGCACGGGUGCGUAACGCGUGGGAAUCUGCCCUUUGGUUCGGAAUAACAGCUGGAAACGGCUGCUAAUACCGGAUGAUGACGAAAGUCCAAAGAUUUAUCGCCAGAGGAUGAGCCCGCGUUGGAUUAGGUAGUUGGUGGGGUAAAGGCCUACCAAGCCGACGAUCCAUAGCUGGUCUGAGAGGAUGAUCAGCCACACUGGGACUGAGACACGGCCCAGACUCUUACGGGAGGCAGCAGUGGGGAAUAUUGGACAAUGGGCGCAAGCCUGAUCCAGCAAUGCCGCGUGAGUGAUGAAGGCCCUAGGGUUGUAAAGCUCUUUUACCCGGGAAGAUAAUGACUGUACCGGGAGAAUAAGCCCCGGCUAACUCCGUG